rnacentral:ncRNA from 2 species
AUGACCCCCGCGGGAGAGCCCCGGCGAACGCAGCCGGGCACCGAAGGAGCAAGCCUCCCCGCCAAUCUCUCAGGUAACGCGUACCGCGCGGUUCCG